AUCCAGCUGACGAGUUCCAAAUAGGACGAAACGCGCAUCAGACUAGAU
rfam:Schistosoma margrebowiei strain Zambia genome assembly, scaffold: SMRZ_scaffold0000252